UUUGUAACCUAAUAUUCUCUCGCUCUCCCUCUUUCUCCGCCCUCCCUUUCUUCUCCGGCCGCCAUCUAUUAUCCGGCCUACUUCGCGAUUAAUCAUGUUUAAUUGAUUCUUAUCUCCGAAAGCCGUUUCUUUUCACGCGAAAUCCACCAUUUCAAUCAAAUCAAAACCUAGGGUUUGCUAUCAAAAUUUUUAGAACCCUAAAAAAUCAGCAGAAAUUGAAUCGAAUUGAAUGAAUCCAAGUUAAGACGACGGUUACAUCGGAAGCGAAGACAAUAGAGCAUAAGAAGAUGAAGAAACCACUAAUCAUCUCCGUGAUCGUUUUCGCCUUUCCACUAUCUCUAUUGCUCAAUCUGAAGCUAAACAUAAUAACAUGGAGAUAUCACAAUCGGUUAUCGUUUGCGUAUCGGAUUUAGCCUUCAAGUUUGCCGAUAGCUGGAUUGAAUGAUGUUUGAGAAAUCCUGAAGCUGAUGGUGUUUUCAAAAAAUGUGUCGUCAUCUGCAUCUUUAACCAAUUUAUUACCAGGAAUCCAGGAUAAUUUUAAAUACAGGUGGUAAAAUGUGUGGGUCAGUAACAGAUAAUUUCGAUAGGCCUGACGCUGGUUGGGUUGGUUCCCUUUUCCCAAAUAUAUUAUAUAACCACAUCAUGCUGGCCGAAAGUCUGUGAAUAAUUUCUGCACAUAGGAACAAGCAUUUGGCUGAUUCGUUGAGGCUGUUUACAUGCAAUCUAAAAGUUUAAGAACCCCAGUCCGAGUAGAAGAUUAAGAAAAGUUCUCACAAGGAAAACAGAGCUCCGCCUCCGGUACUUCUCAUUGAUACAUAACAUUAACAGGCAACAGCCAUAGAUCUCUACAUUUUGGAAUAGUGAAUACUCUCUGCUUACAUGAAUUGCUCGUUCUGAGGCUUGACUUCUUGUUUUCAAUGUAAAUAUGGAAGGCCUUUUAAAAUUUCUCUAGUGAAUUAGAUAUGGAUUACAGUUUUAUUGUGAUUGUAAUAACUAUAUUGCGAGGGUGAUCGGUGAUGGAUUUGAAACAUCUUGUGUAUGGCCACUGUAAUAACUAUCGAAUUGAAAACACAAUGUGUUUUGGGUUU